GCAAGACUCCGUCAGAAAGAGAGAAAGAGAGAGAAGGAAAGGGAGGGAAGGAAAGGGAGGGAAGACAUCUAGGUCUGCACACACAGAACUGCCAGGUGAACGGGUGUGGGCAUUUCAUCUCAAUACUGCCCGGUUUCCCCCUUGGAAUGCUUACCUGGCAGGAGUCAACUUUGCCUUCCAGGAAGCCAGCGCAGAUCAUGCGGUCUGUGAGGGAGAAGUUGUAGAGCACGCUACAGGUCUUCUGGUCUAUGAUGCCCACGGACGCCUUCUGCAGGAGCUCGGGCUUGGUGGCUACCAGGGAAAGAGCCCAGAAAGGCCACUUGCAGAGUGAUCAUCAGAGCAGCUCCAGUUCGGGUCCGAUAACAGUGCUGAGAUGCAGCAUCCCCACCCCACAGAUGAAGAAACCAGGGCUCACAGAGUUGCAGGAAUCACACAAAGCCACAGAGUGAGAAGGAGGCAACAGCCAGAUUUUGCCCCCAGAUGGAAUGGGGAGGUGAGUGGUGUGUAGGCAGUGGGACUAAAGACAAACGGAUCAGCCA